GAUGAACGCUGGCGGCGUGCCUAAUACAUGCAAGUCGAGCGGACAGGCGAGGCGCUUGUUCCUCUGACGUUAGCGGCGGACGGGUGAGUAACACGUGGAUAACCUACCUGUAAGACGGGGAUAACUACGGGAAACCGGAGCUAAUACCGGAUAAUAUAUUGCACCGCAUGGUUCAAUAGUGAAAGACGGUUUUGCUGUAACGUCUAGAUGGAUCCCGGCCGCAUUAGAUAGUUGGUAAGGUAACGGCUUACUAAGGCUACGAUGCGUAGCCGAACUGAGGGAGUGGUCGGCCACCUUGGAGCUUAGACGCCGUCCAGACGCCUGCGAGAGGCAGCAGUAGGGAAUCUGCCGCAGCGGGCGAAAGCCUGACGGAGCAACGCCGCGUGAGUGAUGACAGUCUUCGGAUCGUAAUACUCUGUUAUUAGUGAAGAACAAAUGUGUAAGUAACUAUGCACGUCUUGACGGUAACUAAUCAGAAAGCCACGGCUAACUACGUG
rnacentral:rRNA from 1 species